rnacentral:rRNA from 1 species
AUUGAACGCUGGCGGCAUGCCUAACACAUGCAAGUCGAGCGGAUGAAGGGAGCUUGCUCCUGGAUUCAGCGGCGGACGGGUGAGUAAUGCCUAGGAAUCUGCCUGGUAGUGGGGGAUAACGUCCGGAAACGGGCGCUAAUACCGCAUACGUCCUGAGGGAGAAAUUGGGGGAUCUUCGGACCUCACGCUAUCAGAUUAGCCUAGGUCGGAUUAGCUAGUUGGGGGGGUAAAGGCCUACCAAGGCGACGAUCCGUAACUGGUCUGAGAGGAUGGUCAGUUACCCUGGCACUGAGGCAGGGUACCGACUCCUAGGGGGAGAAGCAGUGGGGAAUAUUGGGGGAUGGGGGAAAGGCUGAUCCAGGCAUGCCGCGUGUGUGAAGAAGGUCUUCGGAUUGUAAAGCACUUUAAGUUGGGAGGAAGGGCAGUAAGUUAAUACCUUGCUGUUUUGACGUUACCAACAGAAUAAGCACCGGCUAACUUCGUG